AACGCUAGCUACAGGCUUAACACAUGCAAGUCGAGCGGAAUGUCUUCGGGCAUUUAGCGGCAGACGGGUGAGUAACACGUAUCCAACCUUUCCCUUACUCGGGUAUAGCCUCGGGAAACUGAGAGUAAUCCCCGAUGUGGUGUACGCUUCGCAUGUAAUGCACACCAAAGAUUAAUCGGUAAGGGGUGGGGAUGCGUUCCAUUAGGUAGUAGGCGGGGCAACGGCCCACCUAGCCGAUGAUGGAUAGGGGUUCUGAGAGGAAGGUCCCCCACAUUGGAACUGCGACACGGUCCAAACUCCUACGGGAGGCAGCAGUGAGGAAUAUUGGUCAAUGGGCGAGAGCCUGAACCAGCCAAGUAGCGUGCAGGAUGACGGCCCUAUGGGUUGUAAACUGCUUUUGUACGGGAAUAACGUUGUGCUCGUGAGCGUAAGUGCAUGUACCGUACGAAUAAGGAUCGGCUAACUCCGUGCCAGCAGCCGCGGUAAUACGGAGGAUCCGAGCGUUAUCCGGAUUUAUUGGGUUUAAAGGGAGCGUAGGCGGAGGAUCAAGUCAGCUGUGAAAUGUAGAUGCUCAACAUCUGCACUGCAGUUGAAACUGGUUCCCUUGAGUGCGUAAGAGGCAGGCGGAAUUCGUCGUGUAGCGGUGAAAUGCUUAGAUAUGACGAAGAACUCCGAUCGCGAAGGCAGCUUGCCGGGCCGCGACUGACGCUGAAGCUCGAAGGUGCGGGUAUCGAACAGGAUUAGAUACCCUGGUAGUCCGCACAGUAAACGAUGGAUACUCGCUGUCGGCGAUAUACGGUCGGUGGCCAAGCGAAAGCGUUAAGUAUCCCACCUGGGGAGUACGCCGGCAACGGUGAAACUCAAAGGAAUUGACGGGGGCCCGCACAAGCGGAGGAACAUGUGGUUUAAUUCGAUGAUACGCGAGGAACCUUACCCGGGCUUGAAUUGCUGGCGGCGGUUAGCGGAGACGCUUUCUUUCCUUCGGGACGCCAGUGAAGGUGCUGCAUGGUCGUCGUCAGCUCGUGCCGUAAGGUGUCGGCUUAAGUGC
rnacentral:rRNA from 1 species